UGGAUUAUCUGCCCUAAGGUGGGGGAUAACCCGGGGAAACUCGGGCUAAUACCGCAUAUGACCGUAAGGUCAAAGGGGGUCGCAAGAUCUCUCGCCUUUGGAGGAGUCCGCGUCCGAUUAGCUAGUUGGUAGGGUAAUGGCCUACCAAGGCGACGAUCGGUAGCCGGCCUGAGAGGGUGAUCGGCCACACUGGAACUGAGACACGGUCCAGACUCCUACGGGAGGCAG
rnacentral:rRNA from 1 species